rnacentral:rRNA from 1 species
UACGAAGGGGGCUAGCGUUGUUCGGAAUUACUGGGCGUAAAGCGCACGUAGGCGGAUAUUUAAAGUCAGGGGUGAAAUCCCAGAGCUCAACUCUGGAACUGCCUUUGAUACUGGGUAUCUGAGUAUGGAAGAGGUAAGUGGAAUUGCGAGUGUAGAGGUGAAAUUCGUAGAUAUUCGCAAGAACACCAGUGGCGAAGGCGGCUCACUGGCCCGGUACUCGGAC